rnacentral:lncRNA from 1 species
AUAGCCCUCAAAAUGCCUCAAGUUCAGACAAGGUCAUUUAGAUCCCCAGUGACAGGCCAUUUGGGAAAGAGGGCUACACAGUGAGUGUCCUGUACAGCACAGGGUUGCCUGUAAGAGCUGCUGAAGAUAAAAGUGCCAAUAUGCCUUUCUUAUGACUUUUGAUAUAAAGUAAAAAGUAAAACGGCAGCCUUUUAUGACAUUUUAAUUCUAUUCCCUCUUUCUACCACCUCCAUUAAAACAUUUUCCUCCUCUUUUGUGCUAUCCAAGAUUAAAAAGUCAUUUAUUGCAAUAAAGGGAUUUAGUGAUUUGGGAGUAACUUUUAUAUACUGUACACCCUCUAGACACCCUGAAACUAUGUUAAUAAUUUUCUUCCUAUUAAUUGUCUCAUCAACCCACAGCUGGCUAUGCUUUUUAUUUCAUUAUGUUAUUCAUCAAUCUAAAAUAGGACUAUAACAGAAAAAGAAAUUGGAACAGAGCAAUUUCAAUAUUUCAAAACAGAUGCAAAUCAACACUAGAGAUGCUACACAGCAUAUUUUUAUUGAGACAAUUCUAUACAUGUUUGAAAAAUGAACUUGUAAUAAACUCAUAUCCUGUGAAGAUAUGUUUUUCUUUCCAUCUUAUGAGCUAAUUAUGCCAACACAACAUAACGUUUUCCUAAAUGCCUUAUAAACUGACCCAGUUACUCAGAAAGUAUUAUUUUUAAAUUGAUGUGAUAGAUGCAAACUGGAACGUUCAGAUUUCAAUUCUGGCACCAAUUCCCAGAUCCCCUACCCAAGUAAUUUAAGGACUUCCUCCCGAUAGUUUUUCAUAUUCUUUUAACUGACAUUUUAUCUUUAUACAGUAUCUCAGCAGAAUGAACAUGCACUAAAACAAUGACAGCCCUUCUCUGGCUGUCAUCUCUCAUUCUGGCAAAGACAGAUGUCUUACACUGGCUUAUGCCAAUAAUAGAGCCGACAAAAAACAACAGAGACUACCUGCCUCUGAUGUAAAGGCACCAAUUCACAUUUGUGACACUCAUUUGUCAAUUAACAGAUUUCUUCCAUUGUUGACACAUGGGACUUAAAAGAUGUGGGCUAGAAUGUGAUGAAUUAAAAAAGACAGAUGAGUAAGCUAUGAGCUGCAAAGUAAUACUAUAAUGUGCUUUAGAUAGGAAUAUCAACUGACACCCCUGACAGGCCAUACAAGGUUUUAUUUCAUUUUGCUCUGUAUCUAGGCUUCAUACUUUGUCUUCUUUGUUCUCUUUUCAUCAAGCUCCUAACAUCUCAUUCUGACAGCCAGAGACAUUUAAGGCACUUUCGUUUCAAAUGCAAGUUAGCAUACUUGAUUUGUCAUUAAAAUGCAAAACGAUUGCCAUUGCAGGUAAAUGUAGGUAUGCUUAAAAGGAUGUAUCUGAAAAGUAAAAGCUGAAAACCAUUUCUGGCUGCUUUGCUUAACUCUUUCACAAGCCUCAGUUUUUAGGAGGCAAGUGUUACUGUGCUGUAAUAGAAGUGUAGCAGCACCUGCAGUUUGAUACAGGGUACAUUUUAGUAUAUUUAAAUAACAUAAAAUCCUAAAGUUAUAACGUCAAACACAGAGAGGCACUGUCAAGUUUGCAAAUGGAGCCUUAGCACGACUCACACAAGAAUCUGAAAAGAGUCUCUCAUGUAAAGCUUUACACGAUAAAGCUUUACACAGGGUCAAAGCCCUCUGCUACACAGACACCAAUGAGGAAAAGAGGGGGAGAGUUGUUUACUCUUUUUAAUACACUAGUUGUGGUUGGAUUCGCUGGAAUCACCAGAGAGGGAAUUUCAAGUAAUUUGUUUUCUAUUCCAAUGCUCACUUUAAGAGAGAUGAGGGUGUUAACAUAAAUAAUUAAUUAAAUAAAUAAAUACAUACACACACAAAGUGUUCUGUAGCAAAAGAUGAGGACAGAUUUUAAAAUUUUGCAGAGAAAGAGACCUGCACAGGUUGGGCAUAAAUAACACUUAGCUUUCUGCAUCAUAUGCAUAGAUAUGAAUGCACUCUAUGAUAUGAAUAAGGUUAUUUCUAGUCAAUGAGAUAGAUUUGAACAUCAAGAAUCUCAGUGUUCAGCAUACAAAAUCUAGUGAAAAGAAAUAGCUAUUAUUUUCUGCAAGUGGUUUAAAAAUAAGAAUAAUAUAAUUUAAUUGAGCAAAUUUCUUGACACAGAGGUUCAGUUCAAAUAUCUGAUAUUAGGAACAUUUAUCAUAAGUUUGUACCUACAUAUCUUUUUUAUAUACUUUCUUUGUUUUUUAACUAGGGAAAAGAGAGGUGUGAAAAAGGUUUCACUACACUCACUUGGGUGCAGAAAUCUUUUUCCCUAGUUUUGUUUUCCCCCUAAGAAUGGGAACUCUGUGGACAUAUAGAGUCAGGGAAUCACACAGAAAACUCGAUUUAGAUUAUGACAUCACAGAACAUUGAAUAUAAGGCAGAGAACCUGAAACAUUUGAUUUUCUGUGUAUAGAAUAAAGUUUAUGGAUCAUUUCUGAUGCUAUUCUGCCUACUAAGGUCCACCUGCUACAAUACAGGAAUUAUUUAUUCAUUCCAUAUUAUAGGAUAGUAAUAGGCUCUGCUGCAAAUACAAAUAUCAACUUUACAACUAACAGCUGUCUUGAUGGGUUUCAGUACUACAA